UGGAGCGGCCGUCGGCGGCGCGGCGGGGGCGCCUCGCUCGGCGGUCUUCGUCCUUUAUGAAGAAGCUUUGUUGCCAAGACUUGCUGUGAAGAUGACCCAUACUACUGAAUGCAGUUGUCUGCAAAUGUAGGAGCCAACAAAUGCUAUGUCCUGCCCUCCCUUGACUUUCCUCUUUCUCAUGGAAUAUAUAUUUCUAAAGUAUUUCUAGAUCUUUACUGAAGAUGUUUGGAUUAUAGCUAUGAGCGUAUCUAUGCAAGCAGAUGAGCAAGCCUGAGCAAUGCUGAGUUUUGUUCAGUGGAGGGACUGCUGUAUGUCAGCCAUGCUAAAGGGCAAGUGAUGGAGGCAAG